UACAGAGGGGGCGAGCGUUGUUCGGAAUUACUGGGCGUAAAGGGCGCGUAGGCGGCCUUCUAAGUCGAACGUGAAAUCCCCGGGCUCAACCCGGGAACUGCGUCCGAUACUGGAUGGCUUGGAUCCGGGAGAGGGAUGCGGAAUUCCAGGUGUAGCGGUGAAAUGCGUAGAUAUCUGGAGGAACACCGGUGGCGAAGGCGGCAUCCUGGACCGGUAUUGACGCUGAGGUGCGAAAGCGUGGGGAGCAAACAGGG
rnacentral:rRNA from 1 species